CGCUCUACCAACUGAGCUAGACGGGCUUUGU
rnacentral:sRNA from 1 species